ensembl:lncRNA
ACUCCAUAGGGCGGGCCCCUGCUCUGCCUUCCUCAUAGGGCCGUGUGCCAAUGAAGUAAGAGGAAGGGAAGAUAGAAAGCUGCUCAGCCUGAGGGCCUGUGGUCUGACUGGGUUGGUGUGGCUAAGCAGGUUUGGAGAAUUGCAGCAGGAGUCUCUUCGCUGAGGAGCCUCAUGGGAAGUCUUCACCCUAAGGGAAAAGGUGCAUGAGAUGUGUGACUGUGGUCCGGGACAGGGUCCAAACAUCAGGUCCAAGGAUGGGGAGAAACAUCGGAAGCACCUGACACACAGCACCGUGUUUUAUUAGGUUGAAUCCUAUGAAACUGUGGUAUCUGGCCAUUUUGACCUGAAGAAAGGGCAAUUUUAUGUGAUUGGACAUAAUAGUCCCAGCAGCACAAAGGAGGAGAUGAGAAAAAGGAGACCCCGUGACUGCCACGGGCUCAGGACUGAACCUGGGUGUGUCCAGCUCAACGUUUCUCAGCCACUACGCUGUAUCCCCUCUUCUCUCUGUUGCCUUGGCCCCAGAGCUGCAGUCUGGGACACACACAUAAAGGAGCUGGAAACUUUCACAUCAGAAAGUGAUGCCUGGGGAGCUAAAGGCCUGGGGUCCUCAUCCCUGGUUCUUUCACCUACACUUCGUUAUUAUCACUGUUCAUUGUAUCAGGUAAUGUCCGUAACGCCAGUAAUCCUUUCUAUUCUUGGGCAAUUCACUGAGGCUCAGUUUCCUCAUAAAUAAAAUGGGGGAUGUGACCUUGGAAGGUCCUUCCUGUCUCCUUAAUUCUGAUAGUCUAAUAAAAGUAAUAAUUCACAUUUGCAAAGCAUGUUAUAGAUUCCCAAAGCAUCAUUACAUUUCUUGUUUGGUUUAAUCUUUCCACAAUCUGAUGAGAUGGAAAUCAUUACCCCCAAAUUUCAGACGUAGCAACUGAGGCCCAAAGAGACCUUAGGCAAUUGCUCAAGUCAUACAAUGUUUUUGGAAUUUUUUGUUUUUUCCAGGAAAAGAUUUGCUGUGAGCUAACAUCUGUCACUAAUCUUCCUCUUUUUCUUUUUUCCUCCCCAAAGCCCAGUACAUGUUUGUAUAUUCUAGUUGUAAGUCGCUCUGGUUCUUCUGUGUGAGCUGCUGCCACCGCAUGGCACCUGACAGGUGGGUGGUGUGGUUCCGCGACCGGGAAGCGAACCCAGGCAGCCAAAGCGGUGAGCACCAAACUUUAACCACUAGGCCAUCACGGCUGGCUCCAGACAAUGUUUUACCGGUAGGCUCGGAACUAGAAUUUGGGUUUCCUGACUCCUGAGUGUGACGGUCUUUCUACUAGACUGGGUUGGAAAUUAAAAAAGAGAAGACCCAAUUUGAAAGGCUGGCGUUGAGAACUGACCUGUCUGGUUUGGACCUCCUUUUAUUCUGUCCCGUGGGGAUUGGUGGGUUUAUCCCAUGGGGAUGGGAAAAAAGAAUUAACACUUAGCUUUCCUUUCUAGGACUGCCCUGCCUCCUUUCUUCCCUACUCUGCCCUGCUUCAACAUCUCCAAAUCUUCUGUAGAAGAAGGGCGUGGCCACGAGGUUCCUUGCAUUUUACUCUAAGAUGCCUCUGUGGGUGAGAUCCAGCCUGGCACAGUGGUGGGGCACAGACUGCCUGGAUUUGAAUCCUGGGUCUGCUGCUUACCAAAUAUGAGACCUGAAAAGAGUUACUACACUUUUCUCUGCCUCUCUCCCUUUAAUGGGGAUAAUCGUGGUGCCCAUAUAAUAAGAUUAUAAGAAGGAUUAAAUGAAUUAAUUAUAAGAGCUUGUAUUAGUCAAGACAUAUGCUUUAAUAACAAAAAACCCCCCAAAUCUCAGUGGCUUAACCCAACCAAGGUUUAUUUUUCACUCAAGCAGAAUCUUGAUGGGGUUGGGGUAACUCUCCAGAGCCCUCCAUGUGGGACUCAGUGAUCCAGAUUCCCUUCAUCUUGUGAAGCAUCUCAACAUGUGACUCCCAGAGUCUCUCAAAUAGCUCAUAGUGAAAGUGACGUCAUUAUCCUCCCUCAGCCAAUUGGCCAGAAUUAGUCACAUGGGCCCAAUAUAAUUACAGAGGAGUCUGGGAGACACAGGAACUAUUUGGUGAACCCCACUGUCUUCCAGGGUAUGUAAGUUUUGUUAAAUAUAAAAAAAAGUUAUUUUUAAAGAAGCCUCAUUUUUAUGUGUUGAUAAUUUAAUUUUCUUACUGGCAUGUCAUAUUUUACUCCUGUUUAUUAUUUCUUAUUUUACUCUCAAUUUAAAAUUUUUAUCGCUUCUUAUUCUUUUAUGUUUUCCAUUAAUUUUCCUUUGUCUUUCUAACAGCCAACAAGAAGCCGUUUAGCAGGGACAGCAGGAGUGAUAAACCCUAUCAAUAUCUGGGAAAGCUGGAGGUCACUUUUCUCCCCACCCCAGCUACUUCGGUAGCCACCUCCUUGGUUCCCUUGGAUGAUCUUCCAGUUCUUUCAAAAUCUCACCCUGGGAUGCUUAUGGGAUCCACGGUUCAGCUUCCCCAGGGCUUUGAUUGUCUUCCUGUUGUCACAUGCCUGAGUUGUUGGAAAGAUGUUGCCACUGACAUUUCCUCUAGGCCUAAUGCAAGACACCAUAUGUUUUUAAAUCCACAGUCUCUGACACAUGGAACUUUGCCUUUUGAAGACAAACAAGCCACACCAAUAGCAAGCAACAACCCGGGGGGAUGGCUAACAGAGGUCUUAUUCAGGGAGGUACUCCAGCCCGGUGUUGGUGAAGAGCCAGGGGUGCUGACCUUUCCUACAGGGACCCACAGGCGUGCCUGGACUCUUUGCCCUCCUCUCGCUUGCGGCGUACACCACUGUUUCUGGGAACGUUCUCCGCUUGACUAAUUCUCCAAUAAUCCUCAUGCCAGUGUGAAAAUCCCACAGUCUCCUUAACCUGCUUCAGGAACUGCUAAGCAAUGCUCGGCUUUGGACCGGUUGAGCUGGGCUUGUGAGCAUCAACGUGAACGGCUUCUUGGGGAAUUACGGCUUGUGUAGGGAACAAGGCUGCUUCUUCAGAUCCAGCCAGCCAUCUGGAGUACGCUCCUCAGAGACAAGAACCUGCUGGAGCUGAGAGGUGGAAUACAGCAUAAACCCUGGGGAAGCUGUGCCCAUCUUUCCAGUCCAGGGCUCAAUAUAUUCAAGUUGGUCCUUCUUUGUUUGCUUCCAUCUUCAAGUGGGAUAGUCUCAACCAGGGAAAGCCAUUCCUCUUCCUUGAUUAUCAUCCUUGGAGUAGUGCCCUGGCGCUAUCUGCCCUCACAGUUGCCUGGAGAAGUGAGAGGACCCAGAGGAGUAAGAUGGACCAAAGACUUUUCAAUUUCUGUUGGGGAAGAGGCUAGGAAUUGGGGAUGGUGGCCAAAGAGGGCCUAACUUUAUCAACAAAGUUCUGAUUAUUUAACCAGGAGAAUGUAUUUGUGUGUUAUUAAUGUAAUUAAAAAUUAAGCAAAGAAAUAAGGUGAACACUCUACGUCUUAGACACUAACAUAAAUGGAUGUACUGGAUACAGUAAAAUGCAUCGAACUGAACUAAACCCAAAAGACAAUAAAAACUUUGGUGACUUAUAAGA